AGAAAGAAAGAAAGAAAUCAGACUAAGAUUAGCAGUGACAAGAUCAUCAGUUAAAUCCAAAGGAGAUCGCAAUCUUGUUUCACAAGAGGUCCUCUGCCUACAUAAUGAGGGAACAGGGGAACUGCUGGGCUACCGCCUGGGCUCAAGGGCAACACCCUUAUUAAUACCAUCUCGACUGCUAACUGCUCAUCCCGGGGCAAGCAUUUCACAAGUAUCAUCCUGUUUGACCUUCACAUUUUUAGGAGGUCUCUUGUCUCCCUUGAUUGGCAGAUGAAGCCGUGCAGACAUAAAGAAGCAGAUGACUUGUUUGGAAUCUGCUAAGUGGAACUUGAACUUCAAAGACCCAACUUUACAGCCUCCGCGUCCAAGACUGAAGAGAGUUUCCUGAUGGUUCAUGAAAAGAUACCCAAGAUAGAAUGUUCUGGAUACUUUGCUAGGCCUUAUCAUCAGACAUGAGCCCGGAGGCCCACUACACAAUAUCAUCCAUCCUGCCUGGAUAAGAUGUGGUUGGUGUUUUGCUUUCUAUCCUCUGAUACCUCCAUUCUGGGGACAUUCCUUACAGAGGGGUAUGUGGCCAUCCCCAGUUAACUUCCUUGGGGUCUCAAUUAAAUGUCUUGCGUUUUACUUUAUCCAAUGACUGAUCUUUGCCUUCGAGGUUGUUCCAGAGAAGUAAGGAAAUGAUGAAAGGACCAAAAGGCAGACUGGAAUCUGUGCUAAGGACUUUCCAUAUAAAACAUCUGCCAGUCCCUCAGUGUUCUUAGAGCACAGACAGGGGUCCUUGUCAGGGUGCUCCCAGAUCAUCCUUCAUAUCCCCUCUGAGAGGCUUCAGAGAAGUUUUCUCUUUUAUGUCAAAUUCCUCUCCAUUGGACUCCCAAAGCAGCCCUUCUCUCUCUCUCUCUCUCUCUCUCUCUCUCUCUCUCUCUCUCUCUCUCUGUGUGUGUGUGUGUGUGUGUGUGUGUGUGUGUCCCUCUCUCUUGGCUCUCACCCCAGCAGCACUUCCCUAUUUAUCUGGGUGAUUAUCUGCUUAACAUCUGUCUUCCCCCGAUAGAAAGCAGGCUCCUUGAAGAGUGGACACGUCUGCUUUUCCUCACCACUGCAGUCUGAAGGCUCAGCCCAGGGCCUGCUCAGACCAGCUGUCUGGCAAA
rnacentral:lncRNA from 1 species